rnacentral:rRNA from 1 species
UGUGUGGUGGUAAACGGAGGCGUUCUCGAAGUCGGGGCUGGAGGUUCAGGCUGGCGGGGGCUUGGCUUUUGCUUUGGCGACCCGCAAGGGCGCCUUGUGAUUGCCUCUGUCUUUGCCGGCUGCAUUUCUCCAGCCCUUCACGCGACGAACCGCUGGGACUGGACCGAGGGCGUGGGUGAAGUUCCUGCACUUGUGCGGGAGCCCCGCGUUUCUGGCUUCGGACCCGGCGGGUAAAGGAACGGGCUCGUACAGCGAGUGUCACUCUUCUGGCACGGCUCGUAUCUCAGUCGCGAGUAGGUCGGUC